CAGGUAGCCUGGUGGUUAGAGCGUUGGGCCAGUAACCAGCAGGUAGCCUAGUGGUUAGAGCGUUGGGCCAGUAAUCGAACGGUUGCUAGUGUUAACUCGAAAUGACACAACGACAAGGUUCCAGUUUAACAAAGUUUACUAUACUGUAUGAACACACUACAAGGUAGCCAUUACACUCACGGCUAGGUCCAUCCACGAACUAACUUCCUGCGCAGCCGCACUCUUGACUGAGUGAUAGCCCCGUAAUAACAGAAAUAUAGGGAUACU